CGGAGCCGCGCCUCCCCGCGCCGCGCCUCCCCACCGCCGGGCCCGGCGACGUCACUGCGGCUCUGACGCGCGCUAAUGGAGGCCCGGGCGCAGGCGGCGUGGCGCGGGUGUCCCCCGGGGAGGUCCCGGUGCUGCAGCCCGCGGCCGCGUCCUUGGCCCUCCUCCAGGGGAACCUCGAUUUUCCCACCUCGGGAAGGCCGGCUGUCCUUCGGCUACUGACAAGGACGCGACCGCCUGGUAAAAGAUUUGAACAAUGCCCGGAAAGAAAGAGCCGGACCCGAGACAGAGCCUGAUAACAGCCGCCCGCUAGAGUUGUGCUCGCGUGCUCAGCGCUCUUAAGAACGAUAAUAACGACAGCAGCCAUAAGAGCCACCAUUUAUUGAGCGCUUACUCUGUGCCAGGCACUGUGUUAAGCGUUUUGCAGGCAACAACCCUCGGAGGUAAGUACCGAUAUUCUCCCUAUUUUAAGGAAGCCGGGGCACAGAGAGGUUAAGGAAUUUGCCCCGGGCACACAGCUAGCUGAUGUCAGUGCCAGAAUUGCAACCCAGGCUGUUCUGAUCCCAUGUCAUCCUCAUGUCAACCCAUAAGGUCGGGAUCCAUCUUAAAGAUGAGGAAACUAAGGCACAUGGAAAUUUAAGUACCUUGCCCAAGGUCACCUAGCUGGAAAAUGGAUGAGGCAGAAAGCGAACCCCGGGCUCCUCUCUGUCCGCAGAACCCGCGGUCUUGGCCAUAGGCGAUGCCACUUCCAAACCACCUCCGACAGCCCCGCAGGCUUUGGCCCCGGGUCGCAAGAGGCGCAGCCCCUGCAGGGUUUAGGUGGGUUCCCGCGGCCUCCGAUCCCCGGGGUGAAUCGGACGUUUCGGAGCAUCGUCUCUGCUCAGCCCGCAGGCGUCUGGUGGGGGACGCGUCUCCCGGAAUCCGGUCGGGACCCGGCCGCGCGGUCCUCGGAAGGGAAGGAGCGGGGGCGGCGGCAGCGGGAGGGGUCCCUGGUCCCACCUGCAGAGCGGCGGGGCCGGCGGCUUGCUCUGCGCGGCCGGCAGAGGGCGCCGUAGCACGCGCCUCGGGUCCCGUGGUCACCAGACCCCGGGGCCCGCAGCCUGGGCCUGCGGACGUUGGGACUCGGAACCGCCCAACUAGGGACCCCUCCGGCCUGGCGACUGGCACCUCUCCGGCCCCUCCUCUCAGCCCUGGGGCUGCUUGUCCUGACGACUCUCGCCCAUUUCCUGUGGUCCUGCCAUCCCACCCUCUGAGAGGAGUGCAUCAUUAUUUCGACAGAGGAGACCACAAGACUGGUAAAUGGCAAUGUGGGCAUCCACCAGGAGGAUCUACCUGUAAAGCCACGUUCCCAUCACCCGAAUGCACCAGCUGAUCCAACUGAACAGAAGAG
rnacentral:lncRNA from 1 species